UAAUACAGAGGUGGCGAGCGUUGUUCGGAAUUAUUGGGCGUAAAGAGCACGUAGGUGGGUUUGUAAGUCAGGUGUGAAAGCCUUCUGUUCAACGGAAGAAUUGCAUCUGAAACUACAAGUCUUGAGUGUAGGAGGGGAGAAUGGAACUUCUGGUGGAGCGGUGAAAUGCGUAGAUAUCAGAAGGAACGCCGGCGGCGAAAGCGAUUCUCUGGCCUAUUACUGACACUCAGUGCGCGAAAGCUAGGGGAGCAAACGGGAUUAGAUACCCCGGUAGUCCUAGCCGUAAACGAUGGGCACUAAGUAGAGGGAAUUACCGAUGUUCUCUCUGCCGUAGCUAACGCAUUAAGUGCCCCGCCUGGGGAGUACGGCCGCAAGGCUA
rnacentral:rRNA from 1 species